CCACACAGACCUUUAUUAUUUUUGAAUGCCUCAAAUGGAGCAAAGGCAUUGAUGUUGGGGAGAGGACCUUCCAAUUGAUUGUAGGAUAUAUCAGCAACUGUCAAACUUCUCAAAUCAUCAAACGUGUGUGGAAUGGUGCCAGAUAGCCCGUUGUGGGAGAGAUUCAACGUUUCCAGGUUCUGUAAUUCUCCAAGCCGCGGUGGCAUCUCUCCUGUCAGCAUAUUUUGACUAAGAUCGAGACUUUGAAGAUGAUGCAUCUUUCCAAUUUCGUCAGGAAUGCUAUCCACAAAUCUAUUCUCGCUCAUGUUCAAGGACCAUAAUUUCCAGAAGUUUCCCAGUUGCUUGGGAAUUGGACCGCUUAAGUUGUUUGAUGCCAAGUCAAGGAUUUCAAGAUCGGAUAAGUUUCCCAAUUCCAGAGGAAUACUUCCUGAAAGUUUGUUGUUGCCUAGCAACAGCUUGAACAGUAAAGGAAGCAUACCCAAUUCUUUUGGGAUCUUCCCAAUUAGAUGAUUUGAGGAGAGAUCAAGUUGUUGCAGUUGAAUUGCUUUCCCAAGUUGAGGUGGUAUAGCACCAGAAAUUUUGUUAUUGGAGAUGUUCAGGUUUGUGAGCAUGUGGCACUCCCCCCAUUUCUCAGAAAGCUCACCAUAAAAAUUGUUAUUGCUCAGAUCAAUAUAAUUUAGAUUAGGGUAUACACCAAAACUUUCGGCUAUGUCUCCAGUAAGUUGGUUUUUUUCAAGCCUAACUCUGAAUAAGCUAGUGCAAUUUUUCAAGCUCUUUGGAAUAGGACCAGUGAAAUGGUUCCUUGCGGCUGAAACUUUUUCAAGAGCAUUACCAAGGCAUAUCUCUUGUGGUAGGUGGCCAAUGAAGUUAUUCUCACCUAUCUGCAAAGAUUUCAAAUGAGUGACAUUAUUCAUUUCUCGGGGAAUGGCACCACUGAGUUUGUUGGAAUGAAGAGCCAAAGUGGUUAAGCUGGACAAGUUUCCUAUAGAAGCUGGUAUUGAACCACUGAGAUUGUUAAAUGAUAAGUCAAGAAUAUUAAGCAAUCUCAACAAUCCGAUUUCUCGAGGGAUAUAACCAGAAAGGUCAUUUUGAGAAAGAUACAAAGUGGUUAAGUUCCUCAAGUUUCCUACAAAAGAAGGGAUUGGACCAGUGAGAUUAUUACUUCCCAACUCAAGAACUAUAAGAGAUCUUAGUAACUCAAAUUCUUGAGGGAUGAAUCCAGAAAGUUUGUUACCAUAAAGAUAUAAAAGGCUUAACUUGGACAAGUUUCCUAAGGAAGCUGGUAUUGAACCGCUAAGAUUGUUGUUUGCCAAGUCAAGAUUCUCAAGUGAUGUCAAUAAUCCAAUUUCUUCAGGAAUGGAGCCAGAAAGUUGGUUACCAUAAAUGUAUAAAAUAAUUAAGUUCUUCCAAUUUUCUAUGGAAGUUGGUAGUGAACCAUUGAGAUUGUUAUAUGACAAGACUAGAUAAUUAAGAGAUCUCAACAAUGUAAUUUCUUGAGGAAUAGAAUCAGAUAGGUUGUUUGAAUUAAGGUACAAAGUGGUUAAGUUCCUCAAGUUACCUAUGGAAGAAGGGAUUGGACCAAUGAGAUUGUUAGUUGACAAAUCAAUACCAGUAAGAGAUCUCAAUAAUCCAAUUUCUUGAGGAAUAAAACCAGAUAGUUUGUUUCUCGGAAGGAGCAAAGUGGUUAAGUUCCUCAAAUUACCUAUGGAAGGAGGGAUUGAGCCAAUGAGAUUAUUAGUUGACAAAUCAAUAACAUUAAGAGAUCUCAACAAUCCAAUUUCUUGAGGAAUAGAACCAGAUAGGUUGUUUGAAUUAAGGUACAAUGUGGUUAAGUUCCUCAAGUUCCCUAUGGAAGGAGGAAUUGGGCCUUUGAAAUUAUUAGAAGACAAUGCUAGAAAGCUAAGAGAUGUUAGAAAUCCAAAUUGGUCAGAUAUCACACCAAUGAAAUGAUUGAAACGAAAGUCCAAAACUAUGAUCAGUUUGGAAAGAUUGCCAAUGUUGAUUGGAAUGGUUCCAUAGAGGGAGUUGUUAUAAAGAUUAAGAGUAAGGAGGUUGGAAAGUGAUGAAAAAUUGAGUUUAUGGAGUGUACCUCUCAAACCGCAACUUUGAAGGUCUAAAUCGGAGACACUUCCUGACCUGUGACAAGUCACUCCGAACCAAUGAUGGCAAGAAUUGCGUCCAGACCAAGAAAAGAGGAAAGAUUGGGUUUGAUUAUCAAGACUGGCCUUCCAUGUUAGAAGAGCGAGUGCUUCUUGAUCUUGUUCAACUUUUGAAAAAGAAGUGAUAGGUGUAGAGGCAAAUGUAAAAGUGACAUGGAAUGAUGAUAUUGAGUACAAAAGGAAAAGGAGAAAUAUGAAGAAGCAAGGAGUGAUGAUGAGUCGGGGGAGUAAGGAGUAGGAUGAAGAAUAUUCAAGGGUCAUUGUUGAAUUGGUAGAAAUGAAGUUAUUAGGAGGUUUACUUGGAGGGAAGGAAGAAGAUGAAACACUUAUUUAUAGGCUUAAAUGUGAUACAUCCAAUAUUUCCAUUGGUUUGUGUUGACAUCCAACUACCUCCUUGGUCUACAAUUAAUGGAAUUGAAAAGGAUCAGAGUAUAUACAUUAAUUCAAUUCCACACUUAUUUUAUUUUAUUUUAUCAAAAUGCUCUUAAUUUUUUAAUUAAAAUGAAAUUAUUAAGAAUAUUCAUUUUUCACUCCAUUCACUUUUAAAUAUAAUUUGUUUGAAAUUAAUAAUUACAAUUCUUUCUAAGAAGUAAGGAUCAAAUAUGACCAUGUCAAUAUCCUAGUUGAUAUAGGAAGCCCACUUGAGCAACAUUACUUGUACAUGUGCCUUCAUAUUAGCCACUUGAUAUAUAUUUUUUUUCAAAAAUUAAUAAAUAUAAGCUUUAAUGAGAGCAAAGAGAAUCGGGUACAUAUUUUAUUAUUAAAAAAUCUGCCAUGAAAUUUUUUUUGGUAGGCUUAUGUUUUGCAUAAGAUAUAUAUAUUCAUUUUGCAUCAAGAAAUUGAAAAACAAAAAUUGAUUUAUUUGUUACUCAUAAAAUAAUUGAGAUCAUGCAUGGAAUUGCAUAUCAUCAAUUCUUCAUGAAGAAUUGGCUUGUAAGAACUUGAUAUUUUUAAAUAUUUAAUUAGAAAUAUGUAAUAUUUACUAAGUUGAUUACAUUUCUUCUUUAAUUUGGUUUAGGUUUAGGUUUCUAAAAUUAUUAGUUCUCAAAUAUCUUAUUUUAAUUGUAUUAGAUAAGAAUCUAUAUAUAAUUAUCAUUUUCACAAUAUUGUUAAAUUACUCAUUUCUAGAAUUUUUUAUUAGGUUAACAAAUGUUAAUAGUUUGAAAUAUUUGAAAAUAUGUUCAUUACCAUUUUUUUUUUGUCAAAUUAUUAGUCUUGAAAUAUUUUUAUCAUAAUUAUAUAAAAUAAAAGAAAAUAUAAUAAACUUAACACUUAAGAACAUUUAGAUACCACUUUAAACAAAUAUAUUAUUCAAAGUCAUCCACCUAGCUAUUACAUAAAUGAAGUUAUAGUUAACAUUCAUAUUAAUAAAUAAAUAAAUGUUACCUAGUAGUACGACAUAACCACACCAUUGUAGCUGAACUUUUCUUCUCUAAGUAGACUUCUUAUGAAAACUUUAUUUAUUUUUAGACUGCAUUCAAAUAAGGAUGUAUUGUGAAUUAAUUAGUAACUAGUAAAAUUUGCUUGUACUGUUUAUUAUUAUUAAAAGAGAUUUCUUACUUAUCAAUUAAAAUUACAUAUGUUGAUAUGAACAUAAAAUUCCCUUUUCAACUACAUGCAUUUCUAAUCAAGUUUUUUGUUGUUUUUAAUAGAGUGGAAUAGUCAUUGGUUUACUUGUUCUUAUCAAUAAUUGUUUUCAAGAAUCUAGACCCAAUAUUCAUAUCAUCAAUGGUAGCCAUCAAUUAUCCUAGUUGACGUGAGGGGUCUAAUCAAGGUGAAGUAUAUAUGAGCUUCAUGUAUUAAAUCUUACUAUUAAAAUAGAAAGUGAGGAUUGAAUCCAUUGUAUUAAGGCUAAGUAGUAGCCAUUACAAUGGUGGAACCUAGAUUUUUUUUUUUCCCUUUUUAAAAGGUAAAAUUUGUAUUGAAACUUCAUCUAUGUCAAGGCAUAGCACAAAUGACGGGUGGCAUGCUUUCAAGUAGAAAUAAAAUAGAAUUUCAUUUUAUAAAUAGGUUAUUUUACCAUUGUUGUAAAUGAUUUCUUUUACUGUUUCCUUCCCAAGAGUCAAGAACUCCAAGAUAUUCGCUUCACAAUAUUUCCCAUCCAAUCAUUCCCAUCAAUUCUUCAUGAAGAAUUGGCUUGUAAGAGACUGGUUUUUUUUUUUUUUAAGUAUUUAAUUAGAAACAUGCAAUAAAAGGAUUAUAUAUACUUUUUCUUUAAAAAUAUAUAAUUAUUAUUUCUUAAGAUGGUACUGUUAAAUUACUAAUUUUUAAAAUAUUUAUUAUUGUAACACAUGUUAAUAUUUUGGAAAAGAAAUUAUUACUAUUUUUUUUUCAAACUAUUAGUCUGGAAAUAUUUUUUUAAUUAUAAAAAAUAGAAACAAAUAUGAUAAUUAUUUUUGUAUAGAUAACGAUAUUUAAUUAGUAAUUUUUAGAUAUUCGUAGCAUGUAAAAAAAAGUAGACUUGACAUUUAAGAACAUUUAGAUACACUUUAAGCAAAUAUAUUAUUCAAAGUCGUUGCCAACUUCAAAUCAUCUUAAAAGACUUGCCUCAUAGUUUUAGAUGCAUUUAUGACUUUGAUAGAAUGCAUGACUUUGAUAUGUGGUACCAACUCAAAAAUACCAAAAACCACUUAAAUAAUUACUCGUGCUUGACCCAUUUUUAACUCUUUGCCCAACUUGAAAUCAUCCUAAAAAAACUUGUACCAUAGUUUUCACAUACAUUCAUAACUUUCAUAGGUAUUGUCGACUUUCAAAUAACAAAAAUGACCAAAAUAAUUGCUCCUACUUACCUAUUUUAAAGUCUUUGCCCAACUUGAAAUCAUCUUUAAAAAAUUGUCUCAUACUUUCACAUGUGUUUUUUACUUUGAUAGACCAUGCCAACUUUGUGCUUAACCCAUUUUAAAGUCUUUUCCCAACUUGAAAUCAUCUUAAAAAACUUGUUCCAUAGUUCUCACAUGCAGUCAUGAAUUUCAUAGGUAGUGUCAGCUUCUAAAAUAGAAAAAUGACUCGAUCCAUUUUAAAGUCUUUGCCUAACUUGAAAUCAUCUUAAAAAACUUGUCUCAUAGUUUCACAUGCAUUCAUGACUUUGAUAAGUAGUGUCAACUUCGUGCUUGACCCAUUUUAAUGUCUUUGCCUAACUUGAAAUCAUCAUAAAAAACUUAUCCCAUAGUUUUGCAUGCAUUCAUAACUUUGAUAGGUAGUGUUAACUUCCUACUUGACCCAUUUUAAAGUCUUUGACAACUUUAAAUCAUCUUAAAAAAUUUGUCUCAUAGUUUUACAUGCAUUUAUGACUUUGAUAGAAUGCAUGACUUUGAUAUGUGGUACCAACUAAAAAUACCAAAAACCACCGAAAUAAUUGAGCAAGAUUAACCCAUUUUAAAGUCUUUGGCCAACUUGAAGUAGUUUUCACAUACAUUCAUGACUUUGAUAGAUAGUGUCAACUUUCAAAUAAUACGAAUAACCAAAAUAAUUGCUCUCGCUUCACCCAUUUUAAAGUCUUUGCCUAACUUGAAAUCAUCUUUAAAAAACUUGUCUCAUAGUUUCACAUGUAUUUGUUACUUUGAUAGGCCAUGUCAACUUUGUGCUUAACCCAUUUUAAAGUCUUUGCCUAACUUAAAAUCAUCUUAAAAAACUUGUCCCAUAGUUCCAUAUGUAUUCAUGACUUUGAUGGGUAGUGUUAACUUUGUGCUUGACCCAUUUUAAUGUUUUUGCCCAACUUGAAAUCAUCUUAAAAAACUUAUCUUAUAGUUUCACAUGCAUUCAUAACUUUGAUAGGCAGUGUUAACUUCUUGCUUGGCCCAUUUUAAAGUCUUUUGCCAACUUCAAAUCAUCUUAAAAGACUUGUCUCAUAGUUUUACAUGCAUUUAUUACUUUGAUAGAAUGCAUGACUUUGAUAUGUGGUACCAACUCAAAAUCCCAAAAACCACUGAAAUAAUUGCUCGUGCUUGACCCAUUUAAAAGUCUUUGCCCAACUUGAAAUCAUCUUAAAAAGCUUGUCUCAUAGUUUUCACUUGCGUUCAUGACUUUGAUAGGUAGUGUCGGCUUCUAAAUAAAAAAAAAAACAACCAAAAUAAUUGCUCUUGCUUGACCACUUUUAAAGUCUUUGCCUAACCUGAAAUCACCUUAAAAACUUAUCCCAUAGUUUCACAUGUACUUAUGAAUUUGAUAGGCACCGUUGUUAAGUUCGUGCUUGAGCCAUUUUAAAGUGUUUGCCUAACUUAAAAUCAUCUUAAAAAACUUGUCCCAUAAUUCUCACAUAUAUUUAUGAAUUUGAUAAGUAGUGUUGAUUUCUAAAUAAGAAAAACAAUCAAAAUAAUUGUUUGUGCUCGAUCUAUUUUAAAGUCUUCGCUUAACUUGAAAUCAUAUUUAAAAAACUUGUCCCAUUGUUUCACAUGCAUUCAUGACUUUGAUAGGUAAUGUUAAUUUCACGCUUGACCCAUUUUAAAGUCUUUACCCAACUUGAAAUCAUAUUAAAAAGAACUUGUUCCAUAGUUUUCACAUGCACUCAUGACUUUGAUAGGUAGGGUUGACUUCCAAAUAACAAAAAUGACCAAAAUAAUUGCUCAUAUGCUUGACUCAUUUAAAAAUAUUUUCCUAACUUGAAAUCAUCUUAAAAAACUUGUCCCAUAGUUUCACACAUAUUUAUGACUUUGAUAGGUAACGUAAACAACAUGCUUAACCCAUUUUAAAGUCUGUGCCCAACUUGAAAUCAUCUUAAAAACCUUGUCUAAUAGUUGUCACAUGCAUCAUGACUUUUCUAGGCAGUGUCGACUUCCAAAUAACAAAAACAACCAAAAUAAUUGCUCAUGCUUAACCCAUUUUAAAGUCUUUGCCUAACUUGAAAUCAUCUUAAAAAACUUGGCCAAUAGUUUCGCAUGCAUUUAUGACUUUGAUAAGUAGUAUCAAGUUCAAAAUACCAAAAACAACCAAAAUAAUACUCAUGCUUGACUCAUUUUAAAGUCUUUGCCCAACUUGAAGUCAUCUUUGUUUGAUUGUGAAGCCUUUAUUAGUCUUAUGGCACUAUGCAAAUGCUAUUGGGGAAUCGAGCUCAAAUUGUUAACAUUUUCUUUUUAUUUGUUGAAGGACGACUUUUCCUCUAUAGUUGUUAUAUUUAACCCUCUCAUAAUUUAGGAUUUCGUGUGAAAGUUUAGAAGAGAAGGAGACUAUUCACUAUUGUAACCUUUUUACCUUCUUUUGAUUAGUGGAUUAUUGAGUGUUAGUGCACUCCCUAUUAGUGUACUUUGUAGAAGUAGGGAUCAUAUUGAUCAUCGAACCAUACUAAAAUCUCAAAAAUUAAUAAAUAUAAGCUUUAAUGAGAGCAAAGAAAAUUGGGCACAUAUUUUAUUAUUAAAAAAUCUGCCAUGAAAAUUUUUUUGGUAGGCUUAUGAUUUUGCAUAAGAUAUAUAUAUAUAUAUAUUCAUUUUGCGUCAAGAAAUUGAAAAACAAAAAUUGAUUUAUUUGUUACUCAUAAAAUAAUUGAGAUCAUGCAUGGAAUUGCAUCUCAUCAAUUCUUCAUGAAGAAUUGGCUCGUAAGAAAUUGAUAUUUUUAAAUAUUUAAUUAGAAAUAUGUAAUAUUUACUAAGUUGAUUACGUUUCUUCUUUAAUUUGGUUUAGGUUUCUAAAAUUAUUAGUUCUCAAAUAUCUUAUUUUAAUUGUAUUAGAUAAAAAUAUAUAUAAUUAUCAUUUUCACAAUAUUGUUAAAUUACUCAUUUCUAUAUUUUUUUUUAUGUUAACAAAUGUUAAUGGUUUGAAAUAUUUGAAAAUAUGUUCAUUACCAUUUUUUUGUCAAAUUAUUAGUCUUGAAAUAUUUUUAUCAUAAUUAUAUAAAAUAAAAGCAAAUAUAAUAAACUUAACACUUAAGAACAUUUAGAUACCACUUUAAACAAAUAUAUUAUUCAAAGUCAUCCACCUAGAUAUGACAUAAAUGAAGUUAUAGUUAACAUUCAUAUUAAAAAAUAAAUAAAUGUUACCUAGUAGUACAUAAUAACCACACCAUUGUAGCGGAACUUUUCUCCUCUAAGUAGAUUUCUUAUGAAAACUUUAUUUAUUUUCAGACUGCAUUCAAAUAAGGAUGUGUUUUGAAUUAAUUAAUAACUAAUAAAAUUUGCUUGUACUGUUUAUUAUUAUUAAAAGAGAUUUCUUACUUAUCAAUUAAAAUUACAGAUGUUGAUAUGAACAUAAAAUUCUCUUUUCAACUACACGCAUUUCUACUGAAGGCUUUUGUUGUUCUCAAUAGAGUGGAAAAGUCAUUGCUUUACUAGUUCUAAUCAAUAAUUGUUUUCAAAUAAUCUAGACCCAAAAUUCAUAUCAUCAAUGGUAGCCAUCAAUUAUCCUAGUUUACGUGAGGGGUCUAAUCAAGGUGAAGUAUAUAUGAGCUUCAUGUAUUAAAUCUUACUAUUAAAAUAGAAAGUGAGGAUUGAAUCCAUUGCAUUAAGGCUAAGUAGUAGCCAUAACAAUGAUGGAACCUAGAUUAUUAUUUUUCCCUUUUUAAAAGGUAAAAUUUGUAUUGAAACUUCAUCUAUGUCAAGGCAUAGUACAAAUGAAGGGUGGCAUGUUUUCAAGUAGAAAUAAAAUAGAAUUUCAUUUUCUAAAUAGGUUAUUUUACCAUUGUUGUAAAUAAUUUAUUUGACUUCUUCCUUCCCAAGAGUCAAGAACUCCAAGAUAUUUGCUUCACAAUAUUUCCCAUCCAAUGAUCCCAUCAAUUCUUCAUGAAGAAUUGGCUUGUAAGGGACUGAAUUUUUUUUUUUUUUUUAAGUAUUUAAUUAGAAACAUGCAAUAAAAUGAUUAUACUUUUUCUUUAAUUUGGUUUAGGUUUCUAAAAUCAUUAUUUCUCAACUAUCUUAUUUUAAUUAUAUCAAAUAAAAAUAUAUAAAUAUUAUUUCUUAAGAUGGUACUGUUAAAUUACUAAUUUUUAAAAUAUUUAUUAUUGUAACACAUGUUAAUAUUUUGGAAAAGAAAUUAUUACUAUUUUUUUUUCAAACUAUUAGUCUUGAAAUAUUUUUUUUAAUUAUAUGAAAUAAAAACAAAUAUGAUAAUUAUUUUUGUAUAGAUAACAAUUUUUAAUUAGUAAUUUUUAGAUAUUCAUAGCAUGAAAAAAAAAGUAGACUUGACAUUUAAGAACAUUUAGAUACCACUUUAAGCAAAUAUAUCAUUCAAAGUUAUACAUCUAGCUCUAUUAGAUUUAAGUUAAAUAAAUGAAGUUAUAGUCGAAAUUCAUAUUAAAAAACAAAUGUUACCUAAAAGUAAUUCCUAUGAUAUUGUAGCGAAACACAAUUUUUUUUCCUUUAAGUAGAAUUAUAUGAAAACUUCAUUUAUUUUUAGCGUAUAUUAAAUUAUUGAUUUGUCUUGAAUUAAUUAAGAAACUAAAAAAAUUAUUUGUACUAUUUAUUAUUAUUAAAAAAGAUUUCUUAUUUGUCAAUUAAAAUUACAUAUUUACAUAUGAAUAUAAAGUUCCCUUUCCAAUUGCAUGUUUUUAAUCAAGACUUUUGUUGUCUUUGAUAGGAUGGAAAAGUCAUUGCAUUCCUAAUUUUUUUUAUCAACAAUUGUGUGCAAAAGUUGUUGCAUUCCUAACUUUUAUCAACAAUUGUGUGCAAAAGUAAUUGCAUUCCUAAUUCUUUUGUACAAUUGUUUUCAAAGAAUGUAUAUCUAAUAUUUACAUUAUCAAUGGUAUAUGUCAAUGAUCCUAAUUUAUGUGAGUGGUCUAAUUAGAGUGAAGUAUAUAACAACUUCAUUUAUUAAAUCUUAGUAUUAAAAUAAAAAGUAGCGCUUGAAUACAUUGUAUCAAGGCUUUAGGAACAACAUUAUUAAUGAUGGGAAUCUAAAUCAAAUGAAAAGAUUUCUUAUUUGUCAAUUUAAAUUACAUAUUUAGAUAUGAAUAUUAAGUUUUCUUUUCAAUUGCAUGUUUUUAGUCAAAACUUUGAUCGUAUUUAACAGGGUGGAAAAUUUGUUGCAUUCCUAAUUCAUAUCAAUAGUUGUAUGGAAAAGUCAUUGCAUUCUUAAUUCUUGUCAACAAUUGUGCGGAAAAGUCAUUGCAAUUGAAUACAUUGUAUCAAGGCUUAAGGAAUAACAUUAUUAAUGUUAGGAAUCUAAAUCAAUUGAAAAGAUUUCUUAUUUCUUAAUUAAAAUUACAUAUUUAGAUAUGAAUAUAUAUAAAGCUUCCUUUCCAACGGCAUGUUUUUAGUCAAGACUUUUACCGUCUUAAAUAGGGUGGAAAAUUUGUUGCAUUCCAAAUUCAUAUCAACAAUUGUGUGGAAAAGUCAUUGCAUUCCUAAUUCUUGUCAAUAGUUGUGUGGAAAAGUCAUUGCAUUCUUAAUUCAUAUCAACAAUUGUGUGAAGAAGUGGUUUCAUUCCCAAUUCUUGUUAACAAUUGUGUGGAAAAGUCAUUGCAUUUCUAAUUUUUAUCAACAAUUGUUUUCAAGGAAUCCAUACCUAGUAUGCACGUUAUCAGUGGUAGACGUCAAUUGCAAAUAAUUUCUUUUGCGUCUUGAAGAUUUUUACUUCAUAAUGUUGAGCAAAGAUGCAUCUAUUUAAGAGUGGUUUGUGCUUUUUAUAAUAGGUAUUGUGAAAAAGGACAUGUUCAAAAUAUAAAUUUUGUUAAUUUUUUCAAAUCAUAUUGCAUUAUUUUAAUUCAAUUUUCAAGUUAAUUAAAAGUGAAACUUAGAUCAAGGAUUGGACAUAAUAACAACAUUUCCUAUUAAUUGAUUUAAUAAUAAAAAAGAUGAGUUUUUUUUUCAAAUACAUAUAUGUCAAAGAGAAUUUAUGUUAUACUUUUCUUAUAGAUAUGAAGGAAAUAAUAAAAAGAAAAGUUUCAUGACUGAAUAUAUCACUCAAUUUAAUUCAGAAAACUUAUUUUUGAAUAUUUGUGGUUUAGUUCAAUUCCAUGACUAAAUCAUUGGCCAUGUUUAUUGGGUCUUAAAGUCUUGGUCAAACUUGAUGUAAUAUUUUAACUACCAAUGAAAAAUAAAUAAAGUGAUAAAUUGACUAAGAGCUCAUUUGGAAAGUAGGGCCAAAAAUGACUUCAAAUUCUUAAAGAGUAUGUUUUACUAAAAAUUAAUCAUUUGAAAAAAAAAAUUGUAAUCAUUUUAAAGUUAUAAAACAAUCGAGGGUACUUCUUAAAUAAAGACUUGAUAAAUACUUCUAAAAGACAUUAUAGAAAACUCGUGAAAAAUAUUUGAAUUUCAAAUAAUUGUUCUUGUUAAAAAAAAAAAGAAUACAUUUUUCAAGCAUUUUUAUUAAAAAGACUUUCAAAUAUAUUUUUACUUGAUAUCCUUGAAUUGUUAAUACGAUUGUGAACUCCAUUUAAUUUUUUUUCUUUAAAAAGUUGGGCAAAUCAUCAAAAAUGGUAGGUCAUGUGUGAUAAUUCUUUUCAAGGAUCACCAUGUUUACAAGUUCAUGUUAGUCCUCAAGUAAUGAUUUAAAAGUUGACAAUUUCAUAAUUCUAAUUAUACCGUCUUUUAUCUUUUCCUCUUAUUCCCAUUCAACUUUACUUUCUUUUUUUUUCUUUUAUAAUUUUUUUACUCAUUUUUGUUAUGAGGUAUUAAUAUUAUUGUUUAGAUAUUAGUAGAAUUAUUCUUGUUAUUAUUAAUAUCAUUCUUAUUAAUAUUAUUUAUUAUUUUUAUAAUUAUUAUGGACUUUAUUAUUCAUAUUUUUAAUAUUAUAGUAAAAAUAAUAUUAUUAUAUUUUUAUCAUUAGUACUACAAAGAAACCUGGAAGAUAAUUUAUAUAUUUUUUUAAUUCUUAAGGCUUGUAAGCUUUAUUAAAAAAUUAUUUAUUUAUUUAUUUGUUUUGCCUUUUAUGCUUUAUAUGCUACAUUAAGACUAAUUAAAUUAUUAUUGACACCCCAUUAAUAUUAUUAUUUAUGAUAUUAGUUUUAUAUAAUUAAUAAAACUAAUAUUAUAUCAAAGUUAUAGAUAUGACAAAAAUGCAUUGAUCUUACAACAUUAAUAUUUUAAAUAUAUAAUAUAUUAAGACAUAACCUAAUUUUAUUUUAAUUCUUUUUUUAAACAAACACCUAUGAAUAGUUGCUCUAUACUCCUUAAAAUUUUGUAAAUGGCUUCAAAAUGUAAGGACAACAUUUAUAUAUUGUACUUAAAACAUAAAUAUGCUAAAAAUAUAAUGCAUUAUGACAAGCCUUAAUUUUACUUUUUAACAAUUAUAAAAACAAAUAUUUUUAUUGUAAUAUUUUCUUAACAGUUCUAUUACAAAAUUAAACAUUUUAAAAUUGAUGAAAUCUAUAUAAUAAAAAUUAUAAUAGCUUUAUAUUUUUAAUUAUCAAAAUGAAACAAUAAUUUGUAAAUUUAAUAUAUUAUAUAUUAUUAUGAUUAUUAUUAUUAUUAUUAUUAGUAUUAGUAUUAUUAUGGAUAAGUUAUUGAUAAUAUUUUUAAAAUAAUAAUUAAUAAAAUUGUAAUUUAUAAUUAAUGUUUAUAUUAUAUAUAUGAAUUGAUAUUAAUAAUAAUAUUACUUGAUAGGUUAAUAAUAAUAAUAAUAAUAAUUAGAAAAGAAAAAGAGAAAAUAGAGAAAAGAGGGAUAUGCUUGGUUUUAAAGUGGAAAGAGUCAGAGUAUACUUAACUUUUUGUAUUUUGAGGCAUGUGGAAGACUUAUCAAAGUUGAUGACCUUUUUGGGACAUUAUCACCUAGCUAUAACUCAUCCUAUAUGGAAAUUUUCCCUAAAAUGUUUUCCUAAUGGGUUUAAAAUCCCUCCUGAAAGCACAUGAGGAUAUUUAUGAACUAUUUGAAUGGAAAUUGGAGCUAAAAUCAACCAUAAGAGUGACUUAGUUUAGUGGAAUAUAUAGUUAGAAGAUAAAUCCAACCCAACUAUCUUUUUACCUAUAAGACAAAACUCAUUUCUUUGUAUAAUGAGAUGCAAAAAUUGCAUAUAAAUAGGCUCUUUUUAGUUAAAAUUGUGUUCCAUGAUCAUAUCACAGAUUAAGUUAAAUAAGAAGUAAAAAUUUCUAAAUUAAUUUUUUUUAUAAAAUGAUUUCUUAACUGUGAAGUAAAUUAAUCUUACAUAUUUUUGUAUCUAAAAAUUUUUUUACUUUUAUUUUUAUUAAAAUAGGUGGAGGUGUUUAAUAAUUCUCCUUAUCAAAUCCUAGUCCUAACCCUAAUUCUAAUCAUAAUUAUUUCUCAUUUCUUUUCUUUCCUUUUCUUCCAUUCUAUGGAAGGAGGGAUUGGACCAGUGAGAUUCUUAGUUGACAAUUGAAGAUCAUUAAGAGAUCUUAACAAUCCAAUUUCAUGAGGGAUGAAACCAGAAAGCUCGUUCUCAAAAAGAUACAGAGUGGUUAAGUUUCUCAAGUUUCCUAUGGAUGGAGGGAUUGAACCAGUGAGACUAUUAGUUGUCAACUCAAGAUCAUUAAGUGAUGUCAACAAUCCAAUUUCUUGAGGAAUAAAACCAGAUAGUUUGUUUGUAUGAAGGUAUAAAGUGGUUAAGUUCCUCAAGUUACCUAUGGAAGAAGAGAUUGGACCAAUGAGAUUGUUAAUUGACAAUUGAAGAUCAUUAAGAGAUCUUAACAAUCCAAUUUCUUGGGGGAUGAAACCAGAAAGCUUAUUCUUGAAAAGAUGCAAAGUGGUUAAGUUCCUCAAGUUUCCUAUGGAAUGAGGGAUUGGACCUGUGAGAUUGUUAGUUGACAAUUGAAGAUCAUUAAGAGAUCUUAACAAUCCAAUUUCUUGAGGAAUGGAACCAGAAAGCUUGUUCUCAAAAAGAUACAAAGUGGUUAAGUUCCUCAGGUUUCCUAUGGAAUGAGGGAUUGGACUAGUGAGAUUGUUAGUUGACAAUUGAAGAUCAUUAAGAGAUCUUAACAAUCUAAUUUCUUGAGGGAUGAAACCAGAAAGCUCAUUCUCAAAAAUAUACAAAGUGGUUAAGUUUCUCAAGUUUCCUAUGGAUGGAGGGAUUGAACCAGUGAGACUAUUAGUUGUCAACUUAAGAUCAUUAAGUGAUGUCAACAAUCCAAUUUCUUGAGGAAUAGAACCAGAUAGUUUGUUUGUAUGAAGGUACAAAGUGGUUAAGUUCCUCAAGUUACCUAUGGAAGGAGGAAUUAGGCCUCUGAAAUUAUUAGAAGACAAUGUUAGAACGCUAAGAAAUGUUAGAAAUCCAAGUUGGGGAGAUAUUACACUAGUGAAAUGAUUGAAAGCAAAGUUAAGAUUUGUGAUUAGUUUGGAAAGAUUACCAAUGUUGAUUGGAAUGGUUCCAUAAAGGGAGUUGUUAUAAUUAUUAAGAGUGAGAAGGUUAGGGAGUGAUGAGAAAUUGAGAUUGUGGAGUGUACCUCUCAAACUACAAUUGUCAAGUUCUAAAUUGGAGACACUUCCUGACCUGUGACAAGUUACUCCAAACCAAUGAUGACAAGAAUUGCGUCCAAACCAAGAAGAGAGGAAAGAUUGGGUUUGAUUAUCAAGACUGGCUUUCCAUGUUAGAAGAGCGAGUCUUUCUUGAUCUUGUUCAACUUUUGAAAGAGAAGUGGUAGGUGUAGAGGCAGAUAUAAAAGUGACAUGGAAUGAUGAUAUUGAGUACAGAAGGACGAGGAGAAAUAUGAAGAAGUAAGGAGUGAUAAAGAGUUGAGAGAGUAAGGAGUAGGAUGAAGAAUAUUCAAGGGCCAUCAUUGAAUUGGUAGAAAUAAAGUUAUUAAGAGGUUUACAUGGAGGGAAGGAUGAAGAUGAAACACUUAUUUAUAGACUUAAAUGUGAUACAUCCAACAUUUCCAUUAGUUGGUGCUAACAUCUAACCACCCCCUUCAUCUACAAUUAAUGGAAUUCAAAAGGAUUAUAUACAUGAGCUCAAUUCCACACAUAUUUUAUUUCAUUUUAUCAAAAUGCUCUGAAUUUUUCAAUUAAAAUUUACACCUACAAUUACAUAUGAAAUAAUUAAAAAUAUUCAUUUUUCACUCUAUGCACUUUUAAAUAUAACUUGUUUAAAAUUAAUAAUUACAAUUCAUUUUAAGAAGUAAGGACCAAAUAUGCCCACGUCAACAACCUAGUUGAUACAGGAAGUCCACUUUAACCAACAUUACUCCUUGUUUGGAUUGAAUUCUUUUAACUAUUUUGCUCUAUGACAAAUGAACUCUUUUAACUCUAUUAGUUCUUUCAUAAUUUUUAUCCUUACAAUAUGAACUAUCUUAUUUCUCUUAAUAUUUUAUAAAUCAUUUAUGUUAUAUUUCAAAACCAAAUUAGUUGUCAUUUCUUCUACUUCUUUCCUAGACAAAUGCAUAAUUUGUGGUUGAUGUUUAUCAUUUUUAUUAAAGGUGUUCACAAUUUGUAAGUGAGACCCAUCAUCUAUGAAAAAUAUAGACAUGCUUUUUUUUCAUUUGGAAGUCUUAAGGAACUAGUAUUUGGACCACAACAAGGACCAAGGACUAACAAAUUUUCACUUUGUUUUUCAUCCAAAUAAGACACACAUAUGUUUAUGUAUUAUCUAUUCUAAGCCAAGGGGCUCUCAAGGCUUUAAAAUGCAUCUCUAAGGUUAAGAGGAGCCCAACACAUAUAUCAUCAUGAGUUUUUUUCCCUAUUCAACGUGAGAUGUCACAAAAAUUGUUCAACAAGAUUAAUGCAUUUGUGAAGCUCAAAAGAAUCACUAAAAUCAAAGGAAAAUAUUUUGGAAUUACAACAUAAAAGAGGCAGGACCCAUGUACACAUGCAUUUUCCUUAUCAAACAGUUGUCUUGAAAAGCCAUUCUAAAGCCCACUUGGCUUGCCAUCACUAGUGAUGGACCUACAUCAUUCAAAUUCUCAAUGCUCUUGAAAGGCCAUAUGCACUUGAAGUAAAAAGAGAUUGGAUUUUUGUUAGAUAGUUCAUUUUUGCUAUUUGGGAACAUAUUUUUCUUUUUCUUUUUUUGUUCUUUUUUCUUUUUAAUAGAACGUUUACAUGGUAGCCUGCUCCAGUCCCCUUACGAAACUUUUGUUAUUAGGUUAGCCAUACACUUCACAUGUUUGUUUCUAGCGAUUCACAUGGCAUCAUCAAAUGAUACAAGUCUUGGAUAAAAAUCUACAACACACUAGAACGCCCUUGUUGACGAUCCUUUACUCCGAUAGUGUCUAGAGUUCCUCGAACAAUGUGAUAUCUCACAUUGGGUAAAUCCUUAACCCUUCCCCCUCUUACUAAGACUACAGAAUGUUCUUGUGAAUUAUGGCCAAUACUAGGUAUAUAAGCAGUGCUUUCAAAUCCAGAGGUUAAUCGUACUCUAGCAACUUUAUGUAAGGCAGAGUUUGGUUUUUUGGGGGUGAUAGUAGAAAAGUUGACAGAUAAAUCACUCUUACUAGAGUGUAAAAUCUUCUAUUUUCUGUUCAAAUUUUAGCUUUGCAAUUAGAGUCAAUAUAUCUCGUAUUCAAUUCACUUCUCAUAUUUUCUGGACUCCUAAAUUCUAAACCCUAUCUGGGUUUUCCAGUUUUGUGAAAAAUCACAUCAUAGGGACUUAAUAGGAUGGGAUUUGAUUCAAUGUUAGAGACAAAAUUUUGGAAAAAUCUGCAAAACCCUCAACAGUUGUGGCCAUACCAUAGCUCAAGACCAAGAUGGGAAUUUACAAUCUAAUAAUGCUGAUGAAUGCUUCAUAGACUGCUCUACAAAACUAGAGUUUGUCAGAAUGCCUGUCCUUUGUUGAAAGACGUGAAGGUCCUUACAUUCUUGAGCAGGAAAAACCUAGGCCGAAAGUAAUCAGCAAAGGAUAAGAACACCAGGAUCAUUUCACACUAAAACACUUUACUCCAACUACUCUGGUUAAACGGAUUCAUCCUAGAGGAAGCUUGUGAAGAUAGCAGCCUUGUUAUAGACUUAAAUGUGAUACAUCCAACAUUCCCAUUAUUCGGUGUUGACAUCCAACUACAUCUUUGUCUACAACUAAUGGAAUUGAAAAGGAUUAUAUAGCUCAAUCCUACGCUUAUUUUAUUUUAUUUUAUCAAAGUGCUCUUGGAAUUGAAAAGGAUUAUAUAGCUCUUAAGUUUUAUUAACAUGAGUGCAAAUUAAUUUUAAUUUUGAAAAAGUUUUACUAAUUGGUAGAAUUAUAUGUGGAUAUGAAUUACUUGGAUAAAAUUUGGAGCUUUGUUGAUAUCAUGUUAGUGACUUAUUUUGUUGAGAUAUAUAGUUAUAAGACAAAUCUCAGCCAACUUUCUUUUUUUCUUAGAAAGACAAAGCUCAUUGCAAUGAAUAAUGGGAUCUAGAGACGUAUAAAAGUGUGCAUUUUUACUUAAAAAAAAAUGUGUUCCAUGACUAACAUGUAUUUCAAAUUUAAGCUCAAACAAAAAGACCACUUAAUCUACUAAGAGCUCUUUAGAGAUGAAAACAACAUAAUAAUUGAAAACAAAAAUAAACUCAUUGAUAUGAAAAUAAAAAUAUAUUUAUUUUGUUAUAAAAACUAUGAUAUCACAGAUUAAUUUGAAUGUGAAGUGAAUUGGAGUAUUGACUCUUUAAUUGAUAAAUCAAUUAAUUUUUAUAGUACUUUUUUUUAUUAAAACAAUUCCUUAAUUGUGAAGUAAAUUUUACAUAUCUAUUCAUAUGUAUUUGAUAAAAUUAACCUUAAUGGGAUAGAAACAUCAUGCAACUCCUUUUGUUUUUAUCAACAAUUCUUAUAAAGAGAUCACUUAAGGGAGAUAACUCACAUCAUCAAUGCUGAGUAGUUAUCACUAAGUGAUUAAAAUUUUUUUCCUCGAAAGAAUAUAUAUUUAUAUGAAAACUGCUUUUAUUUAAAAUCAAUCAUAAUAUAAAUCAUGUUUUAAUUUUUUAUUAAGUUAAUAAGAUUUAAAAUUAAAAUAAAUUUUACAAAAUCAGUAAAUUUUUAUAUAUAUAAAAAAAAUCAAAUGGCUCCACUCAUCCAUUGUUCAUGAUUGAUUGAACAAUGUAAAGAUGACAGUAUCUUCUAUGUAUAAUUUAAGCACUCUCACCCUAGACUUUUAUACAUGAAUAGCUAUUAGAAAAUACAAAAUUUAAUGCAAAAUUGGACUAAGGGAGUAACAUAACCUCAUCAAUGCUUGUAGUUGAUACAUAAAUAGAUUGAAGAGGAUACAACUACCAUCACAAAUAAUAGAUGAAAAAUAAUUAAUAUAACCAUAAUUUAGUUUUUCUUUUGUUUAAAUAAUCAACUAUUCUAGUUGGGGAAUGGACUAUAUAUGGGGUCCAUGAAUUAAAUUAUUGUACAAAAUGUCUUACAAGAAAAAUGUUACUUAGCUUACGAUUUAUACAUUUGCUUUCAAUUAACUAAUGGUUCUAAUAUAUAAGUGCUCAUUUGGAUAAAGUUCUUAUUUUCCAGUUUUAAAAAUAAAAAAUAGUAAUAACUUCUAUUGAAAAUAUAAAAAAUCUUCUGACUCUUAAGACACAACUACCAUCACAAAUAGUAGACAAAAAUAAUUAAUAUAUCCAUUGUGAGGUUGUUCUUUUGUUCAAAUAAUCAGCUAUUUUAGUUGGGGAAUGGACCACACAUGGGGUCCAUGAAUUAAAUUAUUGUACAAAAUGUCUCCAAGAAAAAUGUUAUUUAGAUUAUUAUUUAAACAUUUGCUUUCAAUUAAUUAAUUGCAUUAAUAAUUGAGUGUCCAUUUGGAUGGAGUUCUUAUUUUCUAGUUUUAAAAAUAAAAAAUAGUAAUAACUUCUAUACAAAACAUAAAAAGUCUUCGAGUCUUAACACACAACUACCAUCACAAAUAAUAGACGAAAAAGAAUUAAUAUAGUCAUUAUGAGGUUGUUCAUUUGUUCAAGCAAUCCACUAUUCUAGUUGGGGAAUGGACCACAUAUGUGGUCCAUGAAUUAAAUUAUUGUACAAAAUGUCUCACGAGAAAAAGGUUAUUUAGCUCACUAUUUAUACAUUUGCUUUCAAUUAAUUAAUUUUUACUAAUAAUUCAGUGCCCAUUUGGAUGGAGUUUUUAUUUUUCUAGUUUUAAAAAUAAAAAAUAGUUACAACUGCUAUAUAAAAGACAAAAAGUCUUCUAGUUUUAAGACACAACUACCAUCACAAAUAAUAGAUGAAAAACAAUCAAUAUAACCAUAAUGAGGUUGUUCUUUUGUUCAAAUAAUCAACUAUUCUAGUUGGGGAAUGGACCAUACAUGGGGACCAUGAAUUAAAUUACUGUAUAAAACAUCUCACAAUAAAAAUGUCAUUUAGCUUACUAUUUAUACAUUUCCUUUCAAUUAAUUAAUUAUACUAAUAAUUAAGUGUCCUUUUGGAUGGAGUUAUUUUCUAGUUUUAAAAAUAAAAAUAGCAAUAACUUCUACAUGAAAUAUAAAAAGUCUUUGAGUCUUAUGUCCAAAAUGUAGUGCCUUUUUAAACUUGAUUUGAAAAAAAUGAGAUAUUAAAAAAAAUUACUAUUUGGAAUUUUAAAUUUUUUGAAAAAUAUUUUUCAAAAUGUAAGGUAAGUCUAUAUUUUUUGUAUAUGAAUAUAUAUUUUUUACAUAAAGUUUUCUUUUUUAAAAGAUAAAAAAUAGCAAAUAUAUCUAAAUGGAACAUAAAUGCUUACAUAAAAAUUAUCAAACAAUGAAAUGUUACUUAAAUCUAUAGUUAAAAAUGAUAACAGCAAACUCGUAAGCAAAAAAGUAUACUUAGUAAAGAGAAUUAAGACUAAUUAAUUGCAAAAAAAUUGUGAAACAUUCAUGGGUAAGUCCAACACAUGUUUAGUGCAUGGCCCAAGUUUGUUAAAAUACUAUCAUAUAAUAAAGUUAUUAUGAACUCAAGAACUUCGGAUUACCAAAACCAACCUAAAUAAUUGGUCAUGCAUGACCUAUUUUAAAGUCUUCUGCCAAUCUUGAAGUUAACUUGAAAAUUGUGUUAACAUGUUUCUUAGAAAUACACAUUUCAAACUCUCUCAAUCUUUCUUUACCAAAAACUCAAUACACCCUUUCUCUACCUCUCUUUACUCUUUGCUUAGUUUUUCCUUCUCUAUAAAAAUACUAAAUAAAGUCACAUAUUUAUGGAGUCCUAUUGGUUAACCCUAGACCAAUAGUUUCCCAAUCCUUUGUUAAGUUCAAAAGUAACUUACCAAAACAUACACACUAUAAAUAUUUACUCUCCAAAAAAUAAAUAUUAAAAUAAUUUGAGUCAACGCACUCAACUGAAUCAUUGAUAACCAUAAUUUCUAGGGAUAUAAAAUUGUUCAACAAGAUUAAUGCAUUUGUGAGGCUUAGAAGAAUCACAAAAAUUAGAGGAACAUCUUUUGGGCAUUACCACACAAAAGAUGUAGGACCACAUAUGCAUUUUCCUUAUCAAACAAUUGUCUUGACAAGCCACUUUAAAGCCCACUUGGGCUUGCCAUCACCAUUGAUGGACCUACAUCAUUCAAAUUCUCGAUGCUCUUAAAGGUGGUAUCCACUUGAAGGUAAAAGGAUUCCAAUUUUUGUUAGAUUGUUUGUCUUUUCUAUCUGGAAACUAUUUUUCUUUUCUUUCUUUUUUAUAUCACGUUUACUCUCCUAGAAUGUAAAAUUCUCUGUUCUCUGUUCAGAUAUCAGCUUUCCAACUGGAAUUAAUACAUCUAGUAUUCAAUUCAAUCCUCAUCCUUUUCUGGCCUCCUAAAUUCUGAACUUUGUCUAGGUUUUCCAGUUUUAAGAAAAAUUACAUCAUGAGGACCCAACAUGAUGGGAUUAGAUUCAAUGUUAAAGACAAAAUUUUCAAAUAAUCUGCAAAACCCCUCAACAUUUGUGGCUAUAGUUCAAGACCAAUGUGGGAAUUUACAAUCUAAUAAUGCUGAUGAAUGCUUCAUUGACAGCUCUACCAGACUAGACUUCGACGGAAUGCAUGAUGACAAAUUUACAUGGAGAAGUGAGGACCCUUGGCUAGUUUCACCCCCAUGACCAUGGCCCAGCAGCCCAGCAGCUCAUCCAAUGUAAUCAUGGAAAACGCUUUUCACAAUGGUGGCCAUUGUGUUGAGAGUGCUCUGUCAAUUUGUUGCAUAGUUGGCCGAGAUUGGGGAUUAACAUGCAAGCAUGCAAAUGCUAAUUUGACUGCAAGUGCUACUUCCUUAGCCACUUAAUUCACAGGAGGUGGGAGCCGCUGGUCCAUCGCAUCAUUCAACAGGCAAUGGUCCACAGUUGAUGGUGAUGAGGAUGAUGAGGACGCUGAUGAUAACAGGGAUAAGAUGAGUUCUUCAGGGUGCUUUCCCAUAAUUACUUCCAAUGUUACCACUCUGAAGCUAUGAACAUCGGUUUUAUUAUCCACCUUCAUCUUGUAAGCAAGUUUUGCAAAGAAGAUUAGCUCAUGCUCUUCUCUACUAAGCAAUUGUGAAAGUUACAUAUGAUGUAUAGAGGUCGUUUAGAGAUAAGCAAGGCACUAAGUAAAAUGUACCUGGAGCAGUUUAACCAAAAGUUCCUGCCAUUGAAGUCCAAUUAGAUGAGUCUGACUUUAAAAACCUAGUCGUGCUGAAGUCAGAUACAUGAGCUUCAUAUUCUGAAUCUAACAACACAUUGUUGCUCGAUAUGUCUCGAUGAAUUAUGGGAGGUGAACAAUCAUGGUGCAUAUAGGAUAAAGCUUUAGCCACGCCUUUAACAGCAUUUAGCCUCACCAUCCAAUCUAAUUUUUCUGCUUCUUUGUCAUUGCUAAGAAUGUUUCUCAGGCUCCCCUUUUCCAUAAACUCAUAAACCAAAAAUGAGUUCUCUACAAAUGAACUGAAGCCAUAAAACUUGAUGAUAUUGCGAUGCCUUAUAUGUGUUAAAGCAUGAAUCUCACUUUUGAAAGCUUUCAAAUCAGUCAUAUCUCCAUCUUCUGAUGAGUGAAGUUUUUUCACAGCAACAACCCGACCUAUUGGCAUCUCAGUCUUGUAAAGAGAGCCAAAUCCUCCAGUGCCAAUACACUGUUUCGAACUGAAAUUGUCAAUGCCCUGUAUGAUGUGCUCAUACAACAAUUCCCCAUCAUGGUCCCAUAUUGCAAAUAGAUCUUCAACAUCUGCUUCUGGAGACUUGGUUUUUCUCUUACUCAACUUUUGGAAAAAAAAAAAAAAAUGUCAAUACUAAAAGCAAAUAAGAACAAUAGAAUGCUCACGAUGAGGAGUAUUAUGAUCAGAACAGGAAACUUGUUGGCCUUGUUUCUACUAGCACUGCAUGGCUUGAGAUGAGUGACAUUAUUACCACACAGACCUUUAUUAUUUUUGAAUGCCUCAAAUGGAGGAAAGGCUUCGAUGUUGGGGAGAGGACCUUCCAAUUAAUUGUAGGAUAUAUCAGCAACUGUCAGGCUUAUCAACUCGUCAAAUGUGUGUGGGAUGGUGCCAGAGAGCCUGUUAUGGGAGAGAUUCAACAUUUCCAGGUACUGUAAUUCUCUAAUCAGCGGUGGUAUCUCUCCUGUAAACAUAUAAAUAGACUAAGAUCGAGACUUUGAAGAUGAUGCAUCUUUCCAAUUUCAUCAGGAAUGCUAUCCACAAAUCUAUUCUCGCUCAAGUUCAAGGAUAAAAAUUUCCAGAAGUUUCCUAGUUUUUUGGGACUUCAACCGCUUAAGUUGUUUGGUGCCAAGUCAAGAAUUUCAAGAUUGGAUAAGUUUCCCAAUUCCGAAGGAAUACUUCUUGAAAGAUUGUUGUUGCCUAGCAACAAUUUGAAUAAUGAGGGCAAUAUACCAAAUUCUUUGGGUAUCUUCCCAAUCAGAUGAUUUGAGGAGAGAUCAAGUUGUUGCAGUUGAAUUGCUUUCCCAAGUUGAGGUGGUAUAUAUAGAACCAGAAAUAUUAUUGUUGGAGAUGUUCAGGUUUGUGAGCAUGUGGCACUGCCCCCAUUUCUUAAAAAGCUCACCAUAAAAAUUGUUAUUGCUUAGAUCAAUAUAAUUUAGGUGUGGGUAGACACCAAAACUUUCAUCUAUGUCUCCCAUAAGUUGGUUUCUUUCAAGCCUAACCCUAAAUAAGCUUGUGCAAUUUUUCAAUUUCUUUGGAAUAGGACCAGUGAAAUGGUUUCCUAAGGCAGCAAAUUAUUCAAGAACACUACCAAGACAGAUCUCUUGUAUAAGUUGGCCAAUGCAGUUAUUCUCAGCUAACAUCAAAGAUUUCAAAUGAGUGAUAUUAUUCAUUUAUGGAGAAAUGCACCACUGAGUCUGUUGUAAUGAAGGGCCUAAAAGGUUAAGCCCGACAAGUUUCUUAUGGAAGCUGGUAUUGAACCACUAAGAUUGUUAAAUGACAAAUUAAGAUCAAGCAAUCUCAACCAUUGAAUUUAUUGAGGGAUUGGACCAGGAAGCUUGUUCUAAAAAAGAUACAAAGUGGUUAAGUUUCUCAAGUUUCCUAUGGAAGGAGGGAUCGGACUAGUGAGACUAUUUGUAGUCAACUGAAGAUCAUUAAGUGCUGUUAACAAUCCAAUUUCUUAAGGAAUAGAACCAUAUCGUUUGUUUGUAUGAAGAUACAAUUCCUCAAGUUUCGUAUAGAUGGAGGGAUUAGACCAGUGAGAUUGUUAGCUAAUAAAUAAAGAACAUUGAGAAAUCUCAACAAUCCAAUUUCUUAAGGGAUGGAACCAUAAAGCUCAUUCUUAAAAAGGUACAAAGUGGUUAAGUUCCUCAAGUUACCAAUGGAAGGAAGGAUUGGACCAAUGAGGUUUGAUAAUAGAAGAUUAUUAAGUGAUUUCAAUAAUCCAAUUUCUUGAGGGGUAGAACUAGAAAGCUCAUUCUAAAAAAGAUGUAAAGUGGUUAAGUUCCUCAAGUUUCCUACAGAUGAAGGGAUCAAACCAAUGAGAUUGUUAGCUAAUAAAUCAAGAAAAUUAAGAUAUCUCAACAAUCUAAUUUCUUGAGGAAUAGAACCAGAAAGCUCAUUCUUAAAAAGGUACAAAGUGGUUUCUGAAGGAAAGAUGAGUUUUCAAUUCUGUGCGCCAAAGGAAAAGAAUGAAAUAGAAGAAGAAGAUGAGAUUUUUUUUUCUCGAUUUCUGAAGGAAGAGAUAAGGAGUUGUUUUGUAAAUGAAGUAGAAGAGGAGAAGUUGUAAGUGUUGGAGGAAAAUAAAAGGAGGGGUAUUUUUGUCUCAAUCGAGUCACUUUUUGUAUUUUUGAACGGUGGGUUAUUUUUGCAAAUAUGGGGGUUAUUUUGACCCCUUUAACCAAAUAACACAACAAAAAAUAGGAAAACAUAUUUGACAACCAAAAACUAAUUUUUGUUUUCUGUUUAGAAAACAUAGUGUUUUUAGAUAACAUAUUUUAGUUGUUUUUAGUUGUUUUCACUUGUUUUUUAAAGGUUGUUUUAAAAAAUAUAAUUAUACAAACAUGUAGAAUGAUUAAAAAUAAAACAGGAGAUAUAAAAAUUAUUUUUAAAUCAUAUUUAAAAAUAUUAAAACCAUGUUAAAAACAAUUCAAGUUCUCAAACAAACUUUUGUUUUAUAAAACAUCAGAUAAUAGUUUUCAAAAAUUGCUCUAAAAAAUUGUUUUUCAGACUAUUUUUAAAAAUAGUUGUCAUGUCAAAUAGGGCCUAAACUUCAUUCCUUAAGUACAUUUAUCUAUAUGAAAACUUCUUUAGAUAAGGUAAAAUCAAUUUAGGAGAAUCAAUUUUGUUUUAUAUCCAUAUGAAAAACAAAAUCAAUUUAUGAGAUUUAAAUAUGAGGUCUUUUAGUUUAAUUGAUCAACUGUUCUAAGUUGGGGAAUGGACUAUACAUGGGUCCAUGAAUUAAAUUAUUGUAGAAAAUGUCUCAAAAGAAAAUUUUACCUGGCUUACUAUUUAUAAAUUUGUUUUCAAUUAAUUUAUUUGUACUAAAUAAUUAAGUGUCCAUUUAGAUAUAAUUCUCAUUUUCUAUUUUUUUUUUUAAAAAAUAGAAAUAACUUCUUAUAUAAAAUACAAAAAAUUCUUGAAGUCUUACACAAAAAAUAGUGGUUUUUAAAAAUUGAGGCAUGAAAAAAAUUUACUAUUUCAAAUUUAAAAUUUUUUUAAAGUAUAAGUUAAGUUCAUACUUUUUGUAUUAGAGUUUCAACUUUUUAUAUAAAAAUUUCUAUUUUUAGAAACAAAAAAACAAAAAAUGUAUUCAAACAAAAUAUAAAUACUUAAAUAUAAAAUGUAUCAAGUACCGGAAUUUAACUUUAACUAAUAAUUAAAAAUGAUGAUAAUAACUUAUGAGCAAAAAACUAUACUUAGUAAAAAGAUUUAAAACUAAUUAAUUUCAAAUAAAUUGUGAAACAAAGAGCCUAGUAAUUCAUGGGCAAAUUUAACACAUAUUUACUACAAGGCCUAAGUUUGUUCACAUCUUAUUAAAUAAUAAAAUUGCCAUCAACUCAAUAACUCCCAAAUAAUAAAACCAUUGAAAUCAUUCAUUUGACCAUGCUUAACCCAUUUUAAAGUUUUUGCCCAACUUGAAGUCAUCUUAAAAACCUUGUCCCAUAGUUUCAUGUGAAUGUUGACUUGGAUAGGUGUUGUCUACUUUUGAAUACCAACAACAACUUAAAUAAUUCCUCAUGCAUUUAAAGUCUUUGCUAACUUCAAAUCAUCUUAAAAGACUUGUCUCAUAGCUUUACAUGCAUUUAUGACUUUGAUAGAAUUCAUGACUUUGAUGUGUGGUACCAACUCAAAAUACCAAAAACCACCGAGAUAAUUGCUCAUGUUUAACCCAUUUUAAAGUCUUUGCCCAAUUUGAAAUCAUCUUAAAAAAACUUGUCCCAUGGUUUUCACAUACAUUCAUGACUUUGAUAGGUAGUGUCAACUUUCAAAUAAAACAAAUGACCAAAAUAAUUGCUCUUGCUUCACCCAUUUUAAAGUCUUUCCCUAACUUGAAAUCAUCUUUAAAAAACUUGUCUCAUAGUUUCACAUGUAUUUUUUACUUUGAUAGACCAUGCCAACUUUUUGCUUAACCCAUUUUAGAGUCUUUGCCCAACUUGAAAUUAUCUUAAAAAACUCGUUCCAUAAUUCUCACAUGAAUUCAUAAAUUUCAUAGGUAGUGUCAACUUUUGAAACAAAAAAAUGAUUUGACCCAUUUUUAAGUCUUUGCCUAACUUGAAAUCAUCUUGAAAAACUUGUUCCAUAGUUUCACAUGCAUUCAUGACUUUGAUAGGUAGUGUCAACAUUGUGCUUAACCCAUUUUAAAGCCUUUGCCCACCUUGAGUCAUCUUAAAAAACUCAUCCCAUAGUUUCCCAUGCAUUCAUAACUUUGAUAGGUAGUGUUAACUUCCUGCUUAACCCAUUUUAAAGUUGUUGCCAACUUCAAAUCAUCUUAAAAGACUUGUCUCACAGUUUUACAUGCAUUUAUGACUUUGAUAGAAUGCAUGACUUUGAUAUGUGGUACCAACUCAAAAUGCCAAAAUCCACUAAAAUAAUUGCUCAUACUUGACCCAUUUUAAAGCCUUUGCCCAACUUGAAAUCAUCCUAAAAAACUUGUCCCAUAGUUUUCACAUGCAUUCAUAAGUUAGAUGGGUAUUGUCGACUUUGAAAUAACAAAAAUGAUGAAACUAAUUGUUCCUGCUUCACCCAUUCUAAAGUCUUUGCCUAACUUGAAAUCAUCUUUAAAAAACUUGUCUCAUAGUUUCAUAUGUAUUUUUUUUACUUUGAUAGGCCAUGUCAACUUUGUUUUUUUACCCAUUUUAAAGUUUUUUCCCAACUUGAAAUCAUCUUUAAAAACUUGGUCCAUAGUUCUCUCAUGCACUCAUGAAUUUCAUAGGUAGUGUUGACUUCUAAAAUAGAAAAACGACUUGACCCAUUUUAAAGUCUUUGCCUAACUUGAAAUCAUCUUAAAAAGCUUGACCCAUAGUUUCACAUGCAUUCAUGACUUUGAUAGGUAGUGUUAACUUUGUGCUUGACCCAUUUUAAUGUCUUUGCCCAACUUGAAAUCAUCAUAAAAAACUUAUACCAUCACUUCAUAUGCAUUCAUAACUUUGAUAGGUAGUGUUAACUUCUUGUUUGACCCAUUUUAAAGUCUUUGCCAACUUCAAAUCAUCUUAAAAGACGUGUUUCAUAGUUUUACAUGCAUUUAUGACUUUGAUAGAAUGCAUGACUUUGAUAUGUGGUACCAACUAAAAAUACCAAAAACCGUCGAAAUAAUUGUGCGUGAUUGACCCAUUUUAAAGUUUUGGCCAAUUUGAAAUAGUUUUCACAUACAUUCAUGACUUUGAUAGAUAGUGUUUGACUUUCAAAUAACAAGAGUGACUAAAAUAAUUGCUCUUGCUUCACCCAUUUUCAAGUCUUUGCUUAACUUGAAAUCAUCUUUAAAAAACUUGUCUCAUAGUUUUAUAUGUAUUUUUUACUUUGAUAAGCCAUGUCAACUUUAUGCUUAACCCAUUUUAAAGUCUUUGCCCAACUUGAAAUCAUCUUUAAAAACUUGUUCUAUAGUUCUCACACGCAAUCAUGAAUUUCAUAGGUAGUGUCGACUUUUGAAAUAGAAAAGUGACCCAACCCAUUUUAAAGUCUUUUCCUAACUUGAAAUCAUAUUAAAAAAACUUGCCCCAUAGUUUCGCAUGCAUUCAUAACUUUGAUUGGUAGUGUUAACUUCCUACUUGACCCAUUUUAAAGUCUUUGCCAACUCCAA
rnacentral:lncRNA from 1 species